rnacentral:rRNA from 1 species
UGGGGAAUUUUGGACAAUGGGGGAAACCCUGAUCCAGCCAUCCCGCGUGUGCGAUGAAGGCCUUCGGGUUGUAAAGCACUUUUGGCAGGAAAGAAACGUCGCGGGUUAAUACCCCGCGAAACUGACGGUACCUGCAGAAUAAGCACCGGCUAACUACGUGCCAGCAGCCGCGGUAAUACGUAGGGUGCAAGCGUUAAUCGGAAUUACUGGGCGUAAAGCGUGCGCAGGCGGUUCGGAAAGAAAGAUGUGAAAUCCCAGAGCUUAACUUUGGAACUGCAUUUUUAACUACCGGGCUAGAGUGUGUCAGAGGGAGGUGGAAUUCCGCGUGUAGCAGUGAAAUGCGUAGAUAUGCGGAGGAACACCGAUGACGAAGGCAGCCUCCUGGGAUAACACUGACGCUCAUGCACGAAAGCGUGGGGAGCAAACAGGAUUAGAUACCCUGGUAGUCCACGCCCUAAANGAUGUCAACUAGCUGUUGGGGCCUUCGGGCCUUGGUAGCGCAGCUAACGCGUGAAGUUGACCGCCUGGGGGAGUACGGUCGCAAGAUUAAAACUCAAAUGAAUUGAC